UACGUAGGGGCAAGCGUUGUCCGGAUUUAUUGGGCGUAAAGAGCUCGUAGGCGGUUUGUCGCGUCUGCCGUGAAAGUCCGGGGCUCAACUCCGGAUCUGCGGUGGGUACGGGCAGACUAGAGUGAUGUAGGGGAGACUGGAAUCCUGGUUGUAGCGGUGAAAUGCGCAGAUAUCAGGAGGAACACCGAUGGCGAAGGCAGGUCUCUGGGCAUUAACUGACGCUGGAGGAGCGAAAGCAUGGGGAGCGAACAGG
rnacentral:rRNA from 1 species